rnacentral:rRNA from 1 species
CCCUUAGAUGUUCUGGGCUGCACGCGCGCUACACUGAUGCACUCAACGAGUUUACGACCUUGCCCGAUAGGGUUGGGUAAUCUUUUUAAAAUGCAUCGUGAUGGGGAUAGAUUAUUGCAAUUAUUAAUCUUCAACGAGGAAUUCCUAGUAAGCGCGAGUCAUCAGCUCGUGCUGAUUACGUCCCUGCCCUUUGUACACACCGCCCGUCGCUCCUACCGAUUGAGUGCUCAGGUGAAUAAUUCGGACUGCAGCAAUGCUUGGAUCCCGAACGUUGCAGCGGAAAGUUUAGUGAACCUUAUCACUUAGAGGAAGGAGAAGUCGUAACA